UACGUAGGGUGCGAGCGUUUGUCCGGAAUUAUUGGGCGUAAAGGGCUCGUAGGCGGUUUGUCGCGUCGGGAGUGAAAACCAGGUGCUUAACACCUGGCUUGCUUUCGAUACGGGCAGACUAGAGGUAUUCAGGGGAGAACGGAAUUCCUGGUGUAGCGGUGAAAUGCGCAGAUAUCAGGAGGAACACCGGUGGCGAAGGCGGUUCUCUGGGAAUGACCUGACGCUGAGGAGCGAAAGUGUGGGGAGCGAACAGG
rnacentral:rRNA from 1 species